UACGAAGGGGGCUAGCGUUGUUCGGAAUUACUGGGCGUAAAGCGCACGUAGGCGGACAUUUAAGUCAGGGGUGAAAUCCCAGAGCUCAACUCUGGAACUGCCUUUGAUACUGGGUGUCUUGAGUAUGGAAGAGGUGAGUGGAAUUCCGAGUGUAGAGGUGAAAUUCGUAGAUAUUCGGAGGAACACCAGUGGCGAAGGCGGCUCACUGGUCCAUUACUGACGCUGAGGAGCGAAAGCCAGGGGAGCAAACGGG
rnacentral:rRNA from 1 species